CCUGCAACAGUUUCCACAUCAGUUUCCAACAUAUUACUUCCAGUACAGACUUUUGUUUUCAAUCAAAUCCAAAUGAGAAUCAGGAAGCCUUGACUAAAGUUGCAUAGCAAAAAUAAGUAUUCUUAGCUUAACAAAGCAACUAUGAGGAUUGAUUCACAGAGUACAUAGGGAAUACGACAUGUUUUUGUUCUCCCACCCAUCCAACGGAAAAUAUUUGUCUGUCAAACAAGCUACUUAUAUGAGCAUCUUGGUCUCUAAGCAACCUUACAAAGCAAGCAAAUUUGAAGAAACAGACAUAAAUCCAGAAAUCUAGUGUCUAUAGCUCACUUGUUUUGAAAGGCGUCUGAGAAGAGGCUUAAAAAAAAAAAAAAAAGGAUCAUGGCAUUGUGGUUCGGAACUGUUGAAUCAAGUAAUCAACCACAGUUUGUUUCGGUGCCUCAAUUAUUUUAUUCCACCCCAACAGUGUUCACUCCUUGAUUUUGUAUUUUCUCAUAAUCCCAACCCAGUUGCUUACAGUAUUACUAUUUCCAGGGAAACAGUGUUCACUCUUUGAUUUUGUAUUUUCUCAUAAUCCCAACCCAGUUGCUUACAGUAUUACUAUUUCCAGGGAAACAGUGUUCACUCU
rnacentral:misc_RNA from 1 species